GUCCCCGUAGCUCAGCUGGAUAGAGCAACUGCCUUCUAAGUAGUGGGUCGAGAGUUCGAAUCUCUCCGGGGACGCCA
rnacentral:tRNA from 7 species